AUUGAACGCUGGCGGCAGGCCUAACACAUGCAAGUCGAGCGGAGCGGCGGACGGGUGAGUAAUGCCUAGGAAUCUGCCUGGUAGUGGGGGAUAACGUCCGGAAACGGGCGCUAAUACCGCAUACUAUCAGAUGAGCCUAGGUCGGAUUAGCUAGUUGGUGGGGUAAAGGCCUACCAAGGCGACGGUCCGUAACUGGUCUGAGAGGAUGAUCAGUCACAAUGGAACUGAGACGCGGUCCAGACUCCUAGGGGAGGCAGGAGUGGGGAAGAUUGGACAAUGGGGGAAAGCCUGAUCCAGCCAUGCCGCUUGUGUGAAGAAGGUCUGCGGAUUGGAAAGCACUUGGAGUGGGGAGGAGUGACCAACAGAAUAAGCACCAGCUAACUGCGUGCCAGCCGCGGGGUAAUAC
rnacentral:rRNA from 1 species